UGACAGCAGCACUGGCUGCUAUCUGGAUCCACGCAGAACCAGGGGAGGACGAGAGCAGGGGCCGAAGGGAGGGGUCCGGAGCCCGCAGCCCGGGAGGGAAGACGGAAGUAGAGCGAGGACAAAAUGGCCGCGAAGAAACACAUGUAACUACACAACUCCAGAAAGAGGAAGAUGUGUGCUGUGGGAGGCUCCUUUCAAUUUUCUUUGGGAUCUACAAUCUUCCUUUUCCUGCUCAACCUAUCAAGUACAGUCUCUGAACUAUACCCUACAUUUUGCAGCUUUUAACCUCUGGACUACCUUCAACAUUUUAAUUAUUGAAGCAUUGGAAAAUAAAACAAGGGCCCAGAUUCAGUGGCUUGGAGUAUCCCACCUAACAGCAGUGAUUAAAGAAAGUAGAGUCAAUAACGUGUCUCCUGUCACUCAAAAUACAUUGUAGAACUUGGACUAUGCUCUUAUUAAAUAGAAUGAUUCAGACUUUAUGUUUUUAAAGCUCAGUAAGAUGAAUGUCCUAUCUCCACUUCUUGAAAUACACAAGGUUUCAGACACAUUCAGGAUGGAAAAUUAAAGUUUGGGGGCAUAGGGACUGCAGUGAAGAAGUCUGAAGCCUGGGGUUUCUGACUGGGGGAUGGGGUUCAUGAUGAACAUAUUUGAGUCCCUGUCACAUACCAAGCACUGUUAUAAGUGCUUUGCAUGUAUUAUCUCAUUUAAUUUUGUGAAGUUUUUUUUUUUCAGAUUUAUUUAAAUCUCUCAGUGUUUACUUCUUUUGAGAUUUGUUUGAACCCCUUAAUGUAUAGUUCUGUUGGCACUUCACCUUGGUAUAAAAUAUUUGCUUCGUAAAUAUUUAUUUUGAUGAAGUCCUUAAGAGCAGGAUCUCUGUCAUAACUUGGUAUCUCCAGUACUACUAAGUAUCUUGCUUUGUGAGAAACUAGUACUUGAUAUAUUUGUCACUGAAAUUAAUAAAUAAUAGAUCAUAUUCAAA